rnacentral:rRNA from 1 species
AUCGCCUUCUGACAACACACAAAUAGGAGGUCCCGCCUGCCCUGUGAUCAUGGAUUUAACGGCCGCGGUAUUUUGACCGUGCAAAGGUAGCGCAAUCACUUGUCUUUUAAAUGAAGACCUGUAUGAAUGGCAUAACGAGGGCUUGACUGUCUCCCUUACCCAGUCAAUGAAAUUGAUUUUCCCGUGCAGAAGCGGGAAUAAGAACAUAAGACGAGAAGACCCUGUGGAGCUUUAGACAAUAAAUGGCCCCCGUAAAGAAUACCUUAUUAAAGAAUUAAACAAAGAGUCAACCCAUUUUGCUGUCUUUGGUUGGGGCGACCGCGGGGAAAAAGACAACCCCCAUGAGGAAUCUGAACACCACUCUUUAAAUGAAGAGCACCAGCUCAACAUAACAGAACAUCUGACCUAUAACGACCCGGUAGAAGUACCGAUCAACGAAACCAGUUACCCCAGGGAUAACAGCGCAAUCCUCUCCCAGAGCCCAUAUCGACGAGAGGGUUUACGACCUCGAUGUUGGAUCAGGACAUCCUAAUGGUGCAGCCGCUAUUAAGGGUUCGUUUGUUCAACGAUUAAAGUCCUACGUGAU